GAUGAACGCUGGCGGCGUGCUUAACACAUGCAAGUCGAACGAAGCACUGUUGAUAGAUUCUUCGGAUGAUAGAUACAGUGACUGAGUGGCGGACGGGUGAGUAACGCGUGGGUAACCUGCCUCAUACAGGGGGAUAACAGUUAGAAAUGACUGCUAAUACCGCAUAAGCGCACAGUACUGCAUGGUACAGUGUGAAAAACUCCGGUGGUAUGAGAUGGACCCGCGUCUGAUUAGCUAGUUGGUGGGUAACGCCACCAAGGCGACGAUCAGUAGCCGACCUGAGAGGGUGACCGGCCACAUUGGGGCUGAGACACGGCCCAAAAUCCCUAGGGAGGCAGCAGUUGGG
rnacentral:rRNA from 1 species